rnacentral:rRNA from 1 species
AUACCCUAUUAUAAAUAAUAAUAAUAAGGUAGUACUUUUAAGGAAACCUUAAUGAACUGGCGGCAUUUUAUCUAAUCAGAGGAAUAUGUCCGAUAAUCGACUCUACACGAUAAAUUUCACUAGAGCCCACAUUUUAUAUACCGCCGUCUCUUGACCAAAUUUAAAACUUUGGACAAAAUAAUAUUAUAAGAAGUUAGGUAAAGGUGUAGACUAAGCUAAAGACAAGAUGUGUUACACUUAAUUUAAUUAAAGGAAAGCAUACAAAAAUACGCUAAGAAACAGGAUCUAAAAGUAAAUUAAUUCUAAUAAAUUUAAAUGAAUCAGUUAACAAAUGUGC